rnacentral:rRNA from 1 species
AAGAGUUUGAUCAUGGCUCAGAUUGAACGCUGGCGGCAGGCCUAACACAUGCAAGUCGAACGGUAACAGGAAGCAGCUUGCUGCUUUGCUGACGAGUGGCGGACGGGUGAGUAAUGUCUGGGAAACUGCCUGAUGGAGGGGGAUAACUACUGGAAACGGUAGCUAAUACCGCAUAACGUCGCAAGACCAAAGAGGGGGACCUUCGGGCCUCUUGCCAUCGGAUGUGCCCAGAUGGGAUUAGCUAGUAGGUGGGGUAAAGGCUCACCUAGGCGACGAUCCCUAGCUGGUCUGAGAGGAUGACCAGCCACACUGGAACUGAGACACGGUCCAGACUCCUACGGGAGGCAGCAGUGGGGAAUAUUGCACAAUGGGCGCAAGCCUGAUGCAGCCAUGCCGCGUGUAUGAAGAAGGCCUUCGGGUUGUAAAGUACUUUCAGCGGGGAGGAAGGGAGUAAAGUUAAUACCUUUGCUCAUUGACGUUACCCGCAGAAGAAGCACCGGCUAACUCCGUGCCAGCAGCCGCGGUAAUACGGAGGGUGCAAGCGUUAAUCGGAAUUACUGGGCGUAAAGCGCACGCAGGCGGUUUGUUAAGUCAGAUGUGAAAUCCCCGGGCUCAACCUGGGAACUGCAUCUGAUACUGGCAAGCUUGAGUCUCGUAGAGGGGGGUAGAAUUCCAGGUGUAGCGGUGAAAUGCGUAGAGAUCUGGAGGAAUACCGGUGGCGAAGGCGGCCCCCUGGACGAAGACUGACGCUCAGGUGCGAAAGCGUGGGGAGCAAACAGGAUUAGAUACCCUGGUAGUCCACGCCGUAAACGAUGUCGACUUGGAGGUUGUGCCCUUGAGGCGUGGCUUCCGGAGCUAACGCGUUAAGUCGACCGCCUGGGGAGUACGGCCGCAAGGUUAAAACUCAAAUGAAUUGACGGGGGCCCGCACAAGCGGUGGAGCAUGUGGUUUAAUUCGAUGCAACGCGAAGAACCUUACCUGGUCUUGACAUCCACGGAAGUUUUCAGAGAUGAGAAUGUGCCUUCGGGAACCGUGAGACAGGUGCUGCAUGGCUGUCGUCAGCUCGUGUUGUGAAAUGUUGGGUUAAGUCCCGCAACGAGCGCAACCCUUAUCCUUUGUUGCCAGCGGUCCGGCCGGGAACUCAAAGGAGACUGCCAGUGAUAAACUGGAGGAAGGUGGGGAUGACGUCAAGUCAUCAUGGCCCUUACGACCAGGGCUACACACGUGCUACAAUGGCGCAUACAAAGAGAAGCGACCUCGCGAGAGCAAGCGGACCUCAUAAAGUGCGUCGUAGUCCGGAUUGGAGUCUGCAACUCGACUCCAUGAAGUCGGAAUCGCUAGUAAUCGUGGAUCAGAAUGCCACGGUGAAUACGUUCCCGGGCCUUGUACACACCGCCCGUCACACCAUGGGAGUGGGUUGCAAAAGAAGUAGGUAGCUUAACCUUCGGGAGGGCGCUUACCACUUUGUGAUUCAUGACUGGGGUGAAGUCGUAACAAGGUAACCGUAGGGGAACCUGCGGUUGGAUCACCUCCUU